CCAAAGGACUUAGGGAAAAUCCAUAAAAAGGACUUACAAGGAAAAUCAGAAGAUCUUAAAGAUGGUCAGUAUAUUUUUCCCUUAUAUAAUUCCUCCAAAAU